rnacentral:rRNA from 1 species
ACGACGUAGUUGACUCCGUGGCUCGAGACGACGCUGGCGGCGUGCCUAACACAUGCAAGUCGAACGGGGUGAAGCUUAAAUGACUUAGUGGCGAACGGGUGAGUAACGCGUGAGAAACCUGCCUCUCAGUGGGGGGACAACAGUUGGAAACGACUGCUAAUACCGCAUAACACUUUAGUACCGCAUGGUACAGAAGUCAAAGCUUUAUGUGCUGAGAGAUGGUCUCGCGUCUGAUUAGCUAGAUGGCGGGGUAACGGCCCACCAUGGCGACGAUCAGUAGCCGGUCUGAGAGGAUGAACGGCCACAUUGGGACUGAGAUACGGCCCAGACUCCUACGGGAGGCAGCAGUGGGGAAUAUUGGGCAAUGGGCGCAAGCCUGACCCAGCAACGCCGCGUGAAGGAAGAAGGCUUUCGGGUUGUAAACUUCUUUUGUCAGGGAAGAGUAGAAGACUGUACCUGGCGAAUAAGCCACGGCUAACUACGUG